rnacentral:rRNA from 1 species
GUCGAGCGGCGAACGGGUGAGUAACACGUGAGUAACCUGCCCCUGACUCUGGGAUAAGCCUGGGAAACUGGGUCUAAUACCGGAUACGACCUCCUGCGGCAUCGUGGGUGGUGGAAAGUUUUUCGGUUGGGGAUGGGCUCGCGGCCUAUCAGCUUGUUGGUGGGGUAGUGGCCUACCAAGGCGACGACGGGUAGCCGGCCUGAGAGGGCGACCGGCCACACUGGGACUGAGACACGGCCCAGACUCCUACGGGAGGCAGCAGUGGGAAUAUUGCGCAAUGGGCGGAAGCCUGACGCAGCGACGCCGCGUGGGGGAUGACGGCCUUCGGGUUGUAAACCUCUUUCAGCAGGGACGAAGUUGACGUGUACCUGCAGAAGAAGCGCCGGCUAACUACGUGCCAGCAGCCGCGGUAAUACGUAGGGCGCAAGCGUUGUCCGGAAUUAUUGGGCGUAAAGAGCUCGUAGGUGGCUGGUCGCGUCUGCCGUGAAAGCCCGCAGCUUAACUGCGGGUCUGCGGUGGAUACGGGCCGGCUAGAGGUAGGUAGGGGCAAGUGGAAUUCCUGGUGUAGCGGUGAAAUGCGCAGAUAUCAGGAGGAACACCGGUGGCGAAGGCGGCUUGCUGGGCCUUACCUGACGCUGAGGAGCGAAAGCGUGGGGAGCGAACAGGAUUAGAUACCCUGGUAGUCCACGCUGUAAACGUUGGGCGCUAGGUGUGGGGGUCUUCCACGAUCUCCGUGCCGGAGCUAACGCAUUAAGCGCCCCGCCUGGGAGUACGGCCGCAAGGCUAAAACUCAAAGGAAUUGACGGGGGCCCGCACAAGCGGCGGAGCAUGUUGCUUAAUUCGACGCAACGCGAAGAACCUUACCAAGGUUUGACAUCACCCGGAAACGUCCAGAGAUGGGCGCCUCUUCGGACUGGGUGACAGGUGGUGCAUGGCUGACGUCAGCUCGUGUCGUGAGAUGUUGGGUUAAGUCCCGCAACGAGCGCAACCCUUGUUCCAUGUUGCCAGCACGCUCCUUCGGGGGUGGUGGGGACUCAUGGGAGACUGCCGGGGUCAACUCGGAGGAAGGUGGGGAUGACGUCAAGUCAUCAUGCCCCUUAUGUCUUGGGCUGCAAACAUGCUACAAUGGCCGGUACAGAGGGCUGCUAAACCGUGAGGUGGAGCGAAUCCCUAAAAGCCGGUCUCAGUUCGGAUUGGGGUCUGCAACUCGACCCCAUGAAGUCGGAGUCGCUAGUAAUCGCAGAUCAGCAACGCUGCGGUGAAUACGUUCCCGGGCCUUGUACACACCGC